rnacentral:rRNA from 1 species
CCUACGGGAGGCAGCAGUGAGGAAUAUUGGUCAAUGGCCGAGAGGCUGAACCAGCCAAGUCGCGUGAGGGAAGACGGCCCUACGGGUUGUAAACCUCUUUUGUCGGGGAGCAAAGCGAGUCACGUGUGACUCAUUGAGAGUACCCGAAGAAAAAGCAUCGGCUAACUCCGUGCCAGCAGCCGCGGUAAUACGGAGGAUGCGAGCGUUAUCCGGAUUUAUUGGGUUUAAAGGGUGCGCAGGCGGAGGUGCAAGUCAGCGGUAAAAUUGCGGGGCGCAACCCCGUACUGCCGUUGAAACUGCAUCCCUUGAGGGCGCGAGAAGUAUGCGGAAGGCGUGGUGUAGCGGUGAAAGGCAUAGAUAUCA